rnacentral:rRNA from 1 species
UGGGGAAUAUUGCACAAUGGGGGAAACCCUGAUGCAGCGACGCCGCGUGAACGAAGAAGGUAUCCGUAUCGUAAAGUUCUGUCCUAUGGGAAGAUAAUGACAGUACCAUAGAAGAAAGCUCCGGCUAAAUACGUGCCAGCAGCCGCGGUAAUACGUAUGGAGCGAGCGUUGUCCGGAAUUAUUGGGCGUAAAGGGUACGCAGGCGGUUUAAUAAGUCGAAUGUUAAAGAUCGGGGCUCAACCCCGCAAAGCAUUGGAAACUGAUAAACUUGAGUAGUGGAGAGGAAAGUGGAAUUCCUAGUGUAGUGGUGAAAUACGUAGAUAUUAGGAGGAAUACCAGUAGCGAAGGCGACUUUCUGGACACAAACUGACGCUGAGGUACGAAAGCGUGGGGAGCAAACAGG